GGAGAGAGGCGGGUGUGGAGCCCGAGGACGCCGCCGAGCAGCACCGCCGUCGUGGAGGCUGAGCAGUGCCGCCGACGAACAGCGUCGGCGCCAUCACACCUGGGUUGGAGUCGCCGGACACGCAAAUCCGACACAGGUUCCGCCGCUGCCAGGGGCCGCCAGCCGUCGACACAGCCAGAGCCGUCUCCGAUCGAGCCGGAGAUCGUCGUGAAAAAGCAGAGAGGUCGCCGCUCAGACCGCUACCAUCAUCGCCGAGAGCCGCCGUCUGCCGCUGUCGUGUGAACACGAUCGCCGCCGCGCCUGCCAUCGUUCGAUUAACAGACGCACGGAGCCGCCAGCGUCAUCAUCGCCGAUCGUCUCUAUCGUCUAACGGAGUCGCCUUCGAAUCGCGCCGUCGUCAAAGAGGAUUGAUUUUGAUUUCAGUGCAGUAUUUGAAAAUUUUUAAUAGGAAACGAUAUGUAUAUGCUCACAUACAGAUGCCAAAUAAUAAAAUAUUUGUGAGUAAGUAUACUGUAAAAAUAUAUGCAUAUACACUGUGAAUUCAUGUGGAUAAUAAGAAACUAUAUGCUACA